rnacentral:rRNA from 1 species
AUGACCUACAACGUCUGGUCCCGCGAGGACGUUGUCGUCUACGAGAGGAUGAAGGUCAUCGGUGACCUCGUUCGGGAACAUUCGCCGGACGUAAUCUUCUUCCAGGAAAUCACGCCCUACAUGCACUUCAUCUUCGAGAGCUUUGCAUGGUGGAAGGACUACCACUGCUCACCAGUGCCCCCGGGAGAACAAACGGUGAACCAUCACUUCUGCCUGAUGCUGAGCAAGCUUUCAAUGGAGAGCUAUGCGCGCUGGGAGUACGGUACUUCGCCGACCGGCAAGUGCUACCUAGAGGCCGACAUUACCCCUGGAUCAAUGAAGCCGAUCCGCAUCGCCACUACUCAGCUCGAGUGCCCCGUGCCACCGGCGUCGAUGCACCUCAGGGAUCGGUACAUGCAGGCCAAGCACUCCGUCUCCGCGCUGAGCAGCGGGGACAACGUUGUGUUCGGUGGCGACAUGUUCGGUGGGACGACAAGGCCGACAUGCCGUUCCCUCUCCCUGCAAGAUGGUGCGACGCCUGGGAAAAACUGA